rnacentral:rRNA from 1 species
GUGCACGCUGGCGGUCGGCCUAACCCAUGCAAGUCGCACGGCAGCACAGUAAGAGCUUGCUCUUACGGGUGGCGAGUGGCGGACGGGUGAGGAAUACAUCGGAAUCUACUUUUUCGUGGGGGAUAACGUAGGGAAACUUACGCUAAUACCGCAUACGACCUACGGGUGAAAGCAGGGGAUCUUCGGACCUUGCGCGAUUGAAUGAGCCGAUGUCGGACUAGCUAGUUGGCGGGGUAAAGGCCCACCAAGGCGACGAUCCGUAGCUGGUCUGAGAGGAUGAUCAGCCACACUGGAACUGAGACACGGUCCAGACUCCUACGGGAGGCAGCAGUGGGGAAUAUUGGACAAUGGGCGCAAGCCUGAUCCAGCCAUACCGCGUGGGUGAAGAAGGCCUUCGGGUUGUAAAGCCCUUUUGUUGGGAAAGAAAAGCAGCAGGUUAAUACCCCGCUGUUCUGACGGUACCCAAAGAAUAAGCACCGGCUAACUUCGUG